rnacentral:rRNA from 2 species
ACGGAAGGCAGCAGUGAGGAAUAUUGGUCAAUGGGCGGAAGCCUGAACCAGCCAAGUCGCGUGAAGGAUGAAGGUAUUAUGUAUUGUAAACUUCUUUAGCAGCAGAGUAAUAAGGGGGUCGUGACCCCCGAUGCAAGUAUGCUGAAAAUAAGGAUCGGCUAACUCCGUGCCAGCAGCCGCGGUAAUACGGAGGAUCCGAGCGUUAUCCGGAUUUAUUGGGUUUAAAGGGUGCGCAGGCGGUUUUUUAAGUCAGUGGUUAAAUCGUGAGGCUCAACCUCAUCACGCCAUUGAUACUGGAAGACUUGAUUGCGGUUGAGGUUGGCGGAAUUCGUCGUGUAGCGGUGAAAUGCAUAGAUAUGACGAAGAACACCGAUUGCGUAGGCAGCUGACCAGGCCGUAAAUGACGCUCAUGCACGAAAGUGCGGGGAUCGAACAGGAUUAGAUACCCUGGUA